UACAGAGGGUGCAAGCGUUGUUCGGAAUUACUGGGCGUAAAGGGCUCGUAGGCGGCCAACUAAGUCGGAUGUGAAAUCCCCAGGCUUAACCUGGGAACUGCAUCCGAUACUGGAUGGCUUGAAUCCGGGAGAGGGAUGCGGAAUUCCAGGUGUAGCGGUGAAAUGCGUAGAGAUGUGGAGGAACACCGAUGGCGAAGGCAGCCCCUGGGCCAAUACUGACGCUCAUGCACGAAAGCGUGGGGAGCAAACAGG
rnacentral:rRNA from 1 species